AGAGUUUGAUCCUGGCUCAGAUUGAACGCUGGCGGCAUGGCUAAAACAUGCAAGUUGAACGACCUCUUCGGAGGGAGUGGCGCAAGGGCGACGAAUGUACCCCAAGGUAAAGGAUAGCUUCUGGAAACGGAAGGUAAUACUUUAUGUGCUCUACGGAGAAAAGGUUUACCGCCUUGGGAGCGGCGAUUAUCCUAUCAGGUAGUUGGUGAGGUAAAGGCUCACCAAGCCGAAGACGGGUAGCGGGUGUGAGAGCAUGACCCGCCGCAUCGGGACUGAGACACUGCCCGGACUCCUACGGGAGGCUGCAGUAACGAAUAUUCCGCAAUGCACGAAAGCCUGACGGAGCAAUGCCGCGUGUAGGAUUAAGCAUCUUCGAUGUGUAAACUAAUGUCAAUGACUAGAAACAACGAUCAGUCAUAAAGGAAGGACCCGGCUAACUUCGUGCCAGCAGCCGCGGUAAUACGAAGGGUCCGAGCGUUGCGCGGAAUCACUGGGCUUAAAGCGUACGCAGGCGGAUUUGUAGGUAUCUUGUGAAAUCCCACGGCUCAACCGUGGAACUGCAAGGCAUACUGCGAGUCUUGAACUCGGUAGGGGCCAUCGGAACUCUAGGUGGAGCGGUGAAAUGCGUAGAUAUCUAGAGGAACGCCAAAGGCGAAGGCAGAUGGCUGGGCUGUUGUUGACGCUCAGGGACGAAAGCAUGGGUAGCGAACGGGAUUAGAUACCCCGGUAGUCCAUGCCCUAAACGAUGUGCACUAGAUGGAGGAGGUUUUGACGCCAUCUCGGUCGUAGCAAAAGUGUUAAGUUUACCGCCUGGGGAGUACGGUCGCAAGGCUAAAACUCAAAGGAAUUGACGGGGGCUCACACAAGCGGUGGAGCAUGUGGCUUAAUUCGAAACAACGCGAAGAACCUUAUCCAGGGUUUGACAUGCACGGAUACCCUUUUCGAAAGAAGAGUAAGCCCUUUGGGUGAAACGUGCACAGGUGCUGCAUGGCUGUCGUCAGCUCGUGCUGUGAAGUGUCGGGUUAAGUCCCUUAACGAGCGAAACCCCUAUCUUUAGUUGCCAGCGAGUAAUGUCGGGGACUCUAGAGAGACUGCCGGUGUUAAACCGGAGGAAGGUGGGGAUGACGUCAAGUCCUCAUGGCCCUUAUGUCCAGGGAUGCAAACGUGCUACAAUGGCGUGUACAAUGCGAUGCGAGGCCGCGAGGCGGAGCAAAUCGCAAAAAACACGCCCCAGUUCGGAUUGCAGGCUGCAACUCGCCUGCAUGAAGUUGGAAUCGCUAGUAAUCGGAGAUCAGCUACGCUCCGGUGAAUACGUUCCUGAGCCUUGUACACACCGCCCGUCAAGUCAUGGAAGCCGGGAGUGCCCGAAGUCACGGGGAUUCACUCGUGCCUACGGCGAGUUCGGUGACUGGGACUAAGUCGUAACAAGGUAACCGUA
rnacentral:rRNA from 1 species